AGGCUGCAGCUAAAUCAAACCCACACAAGUUAACUGGCCGGUCGUUGAAUUCGAUCUAAUCGGAUCUUCGUCGACGAAUCUGCUUACCGAACUUCUUAUAUUU